AGCGGCGGGCCUAACACAUGCAAGUCGAACGAGAAUGUAGACUUCGGUCUACUAGUAAAGUGGCGGACGGGUGCGUAACACGUGGGUAAUCUACCUUCCGGCGGGGGACAACAGUCCGAAAGGAUUGCUAAUACCGCGUACGUCAGCGGCGCCUACGGGCGCUGCUGGGAAAGACGGCCUCUCCUUGGAAGCUGUCACCGGAAGAUGAGCCCGCGUCCCAUCAGCUAGUUGGUGAGGUAAUGGCUCACCAAGGCUAAGACGGGUAGCUGGUCUGAGAGGAUGAUCAGCCACACUGGGACUGCGACACGGCCCAGACUCCUACGGGGGGCAGCAGUGGGGAAUAUUGGGCAAUGGGCGAAAGCCUGACCCAGCCACGCCGCGUGAGUGAUGAAGGCCUUCGGGUCGUAAAGCUCUGUGGGGAGGGACGAACAAGCCUGGGGCUAAUCACCCGGGCCCUGACGGUACCUCCUUAGCAAGCACCGGCUAACCCUGUGC
rnacentral:rRNA from 1 species